CUCGGAGUUUGAUCCUGGCUCAGAUUGAACGCUGGCGGAAUGCUUUACACAUGCAAGUCGAACGGUAGAGGGGGCAACCCCUCGAGAGUGGCGAACGGGUGAGUAAUAUAUCGGAACGUGCCCAGUCGUGGGGGAUAACGUAGCGAAAGUUACGCUAAUACCGCAUACGAUCUACGGAUGAAAGCGGGGGUACUCGCAAGAGCCUCGCGCGAUUGGAGCGGCCGAUAUCAGAUUAGGUAGUUGGUGGGGUAAACGGCUCACCAAGCCAACGAUCUGUAGCUGGUCUGAGAGGACGACCAGCCACACUGGAACUGAGACACGGUCCAGACUCCGUACGGGAGGCAGCGAGUGGGGAAUUCUGGACAUGGACGCAAGUCUGAUCCCAGCCCAUU
rnacentral:rRNA from 1 species